UCCCUGGUGGCUGAGAUGGUAAAGCAUCUGUCUACAAUGCAGGAGACCCAGGUUCAAUCCCUGGGUUGGGAA
rnacentral:tRNA from 1 species